UGCCCUAGUAACGGCGAGUGAAGCGGCAACAGCUCGAAUUUGAAAUCUGGCCUCGGCCCGAGUUGUAAUCUGUAGAGGACGCUUUUGGCGCGGUGCCUUCCGAGUUCCCUGGAACGGGACGCCAUAGAGGGUGAGAGCCCCGUAAGGUCGGACACCAAGCCUGUGUAAAGCCCCUUCGACGAGUCGAGUAGCUUGGGAAUGCUGCUCUAAGCGGGAGGUAAACUUCUUCUAAAGCUAAAUACUGGCCAGAGACCGAUAGCGCACAAGUAGAGUGAUCGAAAGAUGAAAAGCACUUUGAAAAGAGGGUCAAAUAGUACGUGAAAUUGCUGAAAGGGAAGCGCUUGUGAUCAGACUCGCGCCGGGCGGAUCAUCCAGCGGUCUCCGCUGGUGCACUCCGACCGGCGCGGGCCAGCGUCGGCUGUCGCGGGGGGAUAAAAGCACCGGGAACGUAGCUCCCCCCGGGGAGUGUUAUAGCCCUCUGCAGAAUACCCCCGCGGCGGCCGAGGUCCGCGCACUGCAAGGACGCUGGCGUAAUGGUCAUCAGCGACCCGUCUUGAAACACGGACCAAGGAGUCGAGGUUUUGCGCGAGUGUUCGGGUGCAAAGCCCCAGCGCGUAAUUAAAGUGAACGUAGGUGAGAGCUUCGGCGCAUCAUCGACCGAUCCUGAUGUAUUCGGAUGGAUUUGAGUAGGAGCGUAAAGCCUCGGACCCGAAAGAUGGUGAACUAUGCCUGUAUAGGGUGAAGCCAGAGGAAACUCUGGUGGAGGCUCGCAGCGGUUCUGACGUGCAAAUCGAUCGUCAAAUAUGGGCAUGGGGGGCGAAAGACUAAUCGAAC
rnacentral:rRNA from 1 species